AACCGAGUCUUAACUGGGCGUUAAGUUGCAGGGUAUAGACCCGAAACCCGGUGAUCUAGCCAUGGGCAGGUUGAAGGUUGGGUAACACUAACUGGAGGACCGAACCGACUAAUGUUGAAAAAUUAGCGGAUGACUUGUGGCUGGGGGUGAAAGGCCAAUCAAACCGGGAGAUAGCUGGUUCUCCCCGAAAGCUAUUUAGGUAGCGCCUCGUGAACUCAUCUUCGGGGGUAGAGCACUGUUUCGGCUAGGGGGUCAUCCCGACUUACCAACCCGAUGCAAACUACGAAUACCGAAGAAUGUUAUCACGGGAGACACACGGCGGGUGCUAACGUCCGUCGUGAAGAGGGAAACAACCCAGACCGCCAGCUAAGGUCCCAAAGUCAUGGUUAAGUGGGAAACGAUGUGGGAAGGCACAGACAGCCAGGAUGUUGGCUUAGAAGCAGCCAUCAUUUAAAGAAAGCGUAAUAGCUCACUGGUCGAGUCGGCCUGCGCGGAAGAUGUAACGGGGCUAAACCAUGCACCGAAGCUGCGGCAGCGACACUAUGUGUUGUUGGGUAGGGGAGCGUUCUGUAAGCCUGCGAAGGUGACCUGUGAGGGUUGCUGGAGGUAUCAGAAGUGCGAAUGCUGACAUAAGUAACGAUAAAGCGGGUGAAAAGCCCGCUCGCCGGAAGACCAAGGGUUCCUGUCCAACGUUAAUCGGGGCAGGGUGAGUCGACCCCUAAGGCGAGGCCGAAAGGCGUAGUCGAUGGGAAACAGGUUAAUAUUCCUGUACUUGGUGUUACUGCGAAGGGGGGACGGAGAAGGCUAUGUUAGCCGGGCGACGGUUGUCCCGGUUUAAGCAUGUAGGCUGAUUAUCCAGGCAAAUCCGGAUAAUCAAGGCUGAGGUGUGAUGACGAGGCACUACGGUGCUGAAGUAACAAAUGCCCUGCUUCCAGGAAAAGCCUCUAAGCAUCAGGUAACAUCAAAUCGUACCCCAAACCGACACAGGUGGUCAGGUAGAGAAUACCAAGGCGCUUGAGAGAACUCGGGUGAAGGAACUAGGCAAAAUGGUGCCGUAACUUCGGGAGA
rnacentral:rRNA from 1 species